ensembl:lncRNA
UAUAUCUGAGAGAUGUACCGAGCCAAACAAGAACGUCUGUAUGGAUAAAACCUUGAACUCUGUAGGAAAGGUUCUAUACAAAAAAGAGAGAAGGAGAGGGAGGAAAAAGUGCCAAAGCCAGCACUUUGAAAAAAAAGAAGACUGUAAGUAAUCACUUAAAGAAGAAGAAAAAAGCUUCACAGUUGGGCUCAUCCACUCUGCCCUGCUGCUCUUCAGUCAUCUCUAAGCCGGCUCCAGGUGAGAUGCGCCAUGCUAGCAGAUGACGCCCUUCUCUCCAUCUGGGAUGAGAAACAAUCAGGACCAGCUAACACCUGCCAACCAAGGAUUCCCUCAGUUCAGCUGAAUAAAAGGCUUCUUGGAGAAACACAUGGAAAACAAAGAAGGUACAUAAGCAGUGACUGCAGCACUAUGAAAUUAAAGACAAUUCAAUCCAACUAUGGAAGAACAGAUGGCUGGCUAUGGAAGCAACAGAAGAGGCUCCCCUUUGCAAUGAGCAUCCACCACUGGAUAGUAAAUUUAUAAGAAUUUUUUUACUAGUAAAACUUGAAAGCUGAUCAUAAAACACAAGGAAAAGGAUGUAGAACAAGCCUGAUGUUCACUUCCCCCUCCUGCUUGCCUGUCAACUGAUGAAGCCAAGUGUCACCUUACAGACAACUUAAUCCCUUUGGUCAUGCUUCUCCCUUAAGCCAAGGCCACUUGGACUGCAACAGAAGUUUGACAGCUUUGGCUACGUCAACAUCACACCUUGCACAGACAUUGACUCUGGGGAUGGUUAAUUGACCCCAGCAUGGGACCCCUGCACCUGGAACUCCCCCAGACCUCCCUGCUCUGAUGGAUGUUUUGAUCUCUGUAUUUUCCACAAGUUUCUUUACUACAUCAGGCAGAUUGACUUGAUUUUAUCUGGAAAGGUGCCUCUGUUUUCAGUGUAGCUUGCAAAAAUAAGUAAAAUAAAUAACGUACAGCAAAGUAAGCUUUCCUACCUGUUCUUUCUUCCUCCAGACAUAAGCUGGUCCCUGGCCCCUUCACCAAUAUCAUAACUCUGAAGCCAGCAGCUGCCCGCAUUUACCUAGAGAUGUUAAAUCCAGCAGGAAAUGCCAUCACACUUACAAAACUAUUACACCCUGUGGCGAUCAAUAUAAUAUUGGCGUCACUUUCCCAGAGCCCAGUAGCAUGCUGAUGGCUAAGAACAGCCUUAACUGCCCCACGCGGAAGGACCUGGACCGCCAACCAGACACGCUCAGAAAUAGAAGUUGGGCCAGGUGAACGGAUUGAGUGACAGCCAUCAUUCUUGGGAGUUUGGGCAGCUGGCACCCCCAACUGCGCGGCAGCCGCCAGUCACAUGUCUGCACAUGAUUCCCAUAGAAUUGGAGCCACUGGAUGGAAAGUUGCAAUAUGACACACAUCUCUUUGACCUUGGCUGUGGGAACAGCACAAUAGUGACCAGUUCUGGGGCUGUUCUGGAAUGGAUCCAUCAAGCGACUAUCUGAGCACAUCUAUUACUGAUAUACUACAAUUAGGAAAGUGGGAAAGUUGAAAGGCAUAAAUACCAGAUGAGGUGAUUGAUAAAAGCUGCAACACAGCAGUAACAGCGUGGCAAAGAGGCUGACCUAGUGCAUGUCCAACAGAAAGCUAUAUAAGGUCACAAACUUACCACAAGUGAGUCAACCCCAUCAAGGGAAUGCCUUGGAAUAUAACCAAAGAGUAAAAAUGUACUCUCUUGCUCAAGAUCAUAAAAAAACAUCAUGAGUAUGCUCUGGAAUGAAUGCAAAAAGCACAUAUGUCUAGAGACCUGCUCCAUUGCAUAAGCCUGAUGUCAUAGUCUCACAAGGAUGACCAUACAUACAGAUAUAUAAAAUUUGAGCAGCAAGCCCAGUAUGCAAACAGGUGAACAGCAUUUUAUUUAGAUGUUUCAACCUACCUCCUGGACCAAGCUCAGAAAAGAAAUUCAGUUAUACGAGUAUCUUGUUCAAAGAUGGCAUAUGAGAACACAAAUGGUGUUGCUUAGCAUGAAUUGGUUGGAAAUUGGUGACAC